rnacentral:lncRNA from 1 species
CUCCUAUACCAACCCCCAUAAAUACCACAAAGCCUCUAUCCAAAAGAGUAAAUAAAUCUGAUUGGAACAUGCCCCUAACCAUGGCCAAAAUUAAUAUAAAAAAAUGUCUAGAGAAAUCCAUAACAUGAAAUGAUGCCUUUUGAAAGGAUGAAAGCUCACCACUUCAGUCCAAAUGCUAAUAUCGAAUCUGCGUGCUAAACAGGAGGAGUAGAAUGAUCAAUUCCUGUAUAGCGUGGGUAUGCAACUGCUAGUAGACGGGGUUAGACAAUGAC